rnacentral:siRNA from 1 species
UCCAUAAAUCUGCAAAUCUGAUA